UUUUUUUGUAUGAAUACUCUUUAGAUCCUUUUCAGUUGAUAUCAAUCCAAACUUUAAUCAUGAGUCGAUCACAAUGUUGUUGAAGUACAUAAAACAAGA
rnacentral:sRNA from 1 species